CCUCGCUGCAGCUUCCCAGGGGGCCUCUCUAGCAAUCUUGCCUCUCUUCGUUUAACCCUUAGACGGACCUUCCCCUGUCAGCAAAAGGGACUCCUUCAAAGAGAGCGCCAGGAGAGGCCACUUACAAGGGGGAAAACUCACUCCGGGCUGUGCGCUGCGCCCCCGCUUUGGCAGGACACUGUGGUGGAAUCCGGAGGGACACUGGCACUGGAGGAGGGUUAAAUGGAGCCAGUAGAGAUUAUUCCUAGAGAGAGAGAGCGAGGGAGGGAGGGGGGGUCUCUGCACUGGAGAUGCCCCUCCCCCAGAACUUAGGGAAAGUUCGGAUGCUCCCCUCCCCUGUGCUUUAUUAAUUAUUAUUUCAAUGAAAUGCAAUGUCUUUGCACAUAGAAAACCAGCAGGAAGAAAGCUUUCCUUCCUAGGCUGCCCACUGAUAAGUCAGCACUUCCACCUCUAGAGAGUUAUUAAUUUAUUUAUUCUAGAGUUAUUUAUUUAUUUAUUUAUUUAUUUAUUUAUUUAUUUAUUUAUUUGAGUUAUUAUUCCACCAGACAGUCUGGUGGAAUCCGGAGGGACACUGGCACUGUUCCCGGACCGGUUCGGAGGCCAUUCUACAGGCCUCCAGACCGGUCCGGACAUGGGGGGUUUGGGUUCGGAUGGAUUGGGGUGGGGGUUCCUUUAAGGGCGGGGGAGCGUUUACUUACCCUCCCACGCUUUCCAACCCCGGCGGCCGUAUUUCUUUUAGCUACGGGGCAGCAGGAUACCUCCCUGCCGUCCCUUCAGCCGCUUCGCUGCGCAUGCGCCCUUAUUUCUUUAAGCAAUGGCGUUGCGCCGUUGGCUCUCAGAUUCCCCCACCACAUGUAUUUGCUGUUUCCUCUGUCAGAGGCUGCCUGCGGCCGCUGGAUAAACGAGGGAUUCUGUCAAAUCCCCCUGCCGCCCCCUCCCCAAAGUAGCUGCUGCUGCUGCAAAAAGCUUUAAGAAGCCUUUUGCCUGCCACCCGCUCCCCAAAUGUAGCUGGCUUUGAAACUAUACUUUGCCUCAAUCCAGUCACUUCUCUCUCAGCCUAACCUACUUUAGAGGGUUGUUGUGAGGAGAAACUCAUGUAUGUAGUACACCGCUCUGGGCUCCUUGGAGGAAGAGCGGGAUAGAAAUGUUAAAAUAAAUAAAUAAAAUAAAUAAAUAAAUAAAAUCGCUUGAGUCCAAACGUUUGCACACAUUAAAACUGGUGGAACUGACCCUUCUAACAGUUAAUUCCCCAAACAGCCUGAACAUUGCCGACCAAUCACCCCUGGGCCAGUUUCAUUAACAAUAUGGUAUUGUCAUUUUAUCCAGCCACCUAACUGCUCGGAGCCAUUUUUGGAAGGGCGGAAUAUAAAUGAAAUAAACCGACCAACAAAUAAAUAAUGGUGCAGCGGGGAAGUUACUUGCCUAGGGAGGAAGAGGUUGCUGGUUCAAAAUCCCGCAGGUAUGUUUCCCAGAUUCUGUAGCGAUGUAGGAAGAUGCUGAAAGGCAUCAUCUCCUACUGCACCGGAGAUGGCAGUGGUAAACCCCUCCUGCAUUCUACCAAAGAAAACCACAGGGCUCUGUGGUCGCCAGGAGCCGACACCAACUCGAUGGCACAACUUUGUCAUUUUAUAGAUAUUCUCUUUUCUAUCUGCAUACAUCUUCAGAGAUUUUAUUACAUAUAUAUCUUAAGGUUUAUAGAUUUUGCUUGGAAAAAAUAGGAUAUCAAAAUACACUGGAAUAAUUCAUUUCCUCAGCAGCUAUUCUUGCAUUGUUGUGAAAUUGCUUGUUGUGAAAUCCUCUUUUAAGAUGUUUAUUUUUGAAUUGAUAAUUUUACUGUGUAUACGCACCCCAAACUACUUUUUAAAUAUAAAGUUGUACCGAAGGCUGCUUACAAAUUCAAAAUUAGUCCUGUUGCUGAAAAAUGAAGCAUAUACUACUUGUUGUCUUUUGGGGAGAUGCUUGGGAAAUAUUUAACCUCGGUCAACCAGUUAUUUCCUAUCAGGUUAUCUUGAAAUUUGGCUAGUUGACAGUAAGGGCUGUUUUGAUGCUGUGUGCCAGAUAUCAGCAGGUUGGGACAAAAUGUCUAAAUUUGGUAAAAGAUGUUAAUGUUCAGUUCUUAUGGCGAAGCACUGCCUGAUUCCUCUGCCAGUGGGCAUCACAAUCCCAUCCUUGUUGGCCUCCCCACAUUUGACCAUAUAAGGUUCCUUUAAAAGCUUGUCUAAAUAUGGCCUGCCACUUUCUUCUGUCACAAUCACAGCUCCCCUCCCACUUCUGCACACAUCAUAAUACUCCACUGUCCUCUGAGCCCAAAUAAAAGCAGCUCACCUUUGCUGAGUAGCUCAGUCUCCCUGCGGGGGCAGAAAGAAAACCAGUAGUGUUCCCCCUCUGACCCCGUAGGUAGAGGACGCCGAGCUGUACCCUUUCCCCCCUCUAGAUCCCUGCAGGCUCCCUCGGGAGCUCCUAAUGGCCACGACCGUUUGUCAUCGUCUAGCGUGUCCUAUUCGGGCACAACGGCUGAAGCGGGGGUCUCCCCUUUCCCUGUAAGAAGAACCUUCCCAUGCAGCUCGAAGACCUUGCUCCCAAAGGCUAAGUCCUGUUGGUUGAGCCAUAGGUAGCUCAAGCUGUGUCUGGGCAGGAUCAUCCAUUGGUGGUCCUGCCCCGACACAGAUUGACCAAGGCCCACUGUUUAACCUGGCCGUGCAGGCCUGGCUGGUUGCCGCUUUUUGGAGCCGAGAAGGAAUUUUCCCCUGGGAGGUCUCUGGGUCCCCAGGUUUUUUGCCUUCUCUGCACGGCCUUCCUCUUGAGCUCUGCAAGUGCCUUGGCUUGCCGCUGAAGACGAGUCAACCAGUGGGUCUUUCCCCCUCCCACCCCUCCCCAAAUAAAAUAUAAAUAGAUUUGAA